GCAACCGAACAGUUUUAUCAGGUAAAGCGAAUGAUUAGAGGCAUCAGGGAUGAAAUGUCCUUGACCUAUUCUCAAACUUUAAAUGGGUAAGAGCCCUGAGUUGCUUAAGUGAACUCGGCGGUCGAAUGACGGUUGCUAGUGGGCCAAUCUGGGUAAGCUAGAUUGGCGAUGCGGGAUGCUCCGAACGUUGAGUUAAAGUGCCAAAAUAUCCGCUAACCUAGAUCCCACAAAAGGUGUUGGUUCAUUAAGACAGCAGGACGGUGGCCAUGGAAGUCGGAACCCGCUAAGGAGUGUGUAACAACUCACCUGCCGAAUGAACUAGCCCUGAAAAUGGAUGGCGCUGAAGCGGAUUACUUAUACUCAACCAAUGAGACAAAUGCGAAGUCUUAUUGAGUAGGGGGCGGUGGGGUUCGGUCGGUGGCAUUCUGUGGCGUAAGCCGGGAUGAAGCGGACUCUAGUGCAGAUCUUGGUAGCAGUAGCAAAUAUUACAAAUGAGAACUUUAGAAGACUGAAGUGGAG
rnacentral:rRNA from 1 species